CGGACGGGUGAGUAACGCGUGGAAAACCUGCCGUAUACUGGGGGAUAACACUUAGAAAUAGGUGCUAAUACCGCAUAAGCGCACAGCUUCGCAUGAAGCGGUGUGAAAAACUCUGGUGGUAUACGAUGGUUCCGCGUCUGAUUAGCUAGUUGGUGGGGUAAUGGCCUACCAAGGCAACGAUCAGUAGCCGGCCGUGAGAGGGUGAACGGCCACAUUGGGACUGAGACACGGCCCAAACUCCUACGGAAGGCAGCAG
rnacentral:rRNA from 1 species